rnacentral:lncRNA from 1 species
UGACAGCUCGCGGGGACACGCCCGCCGUGUGACAGCAGCAGCAGCAACAGCAGCGGCGGCGGCAGCAGCAGCGGUGGUUUGUGUGGCUUUAACACCGGGCGCUGCCUCUUUCUUACCGGUGUCUCUCUUUCGGAACAACUUCUCGUACAACUAAAUGAAGCGGCUGCCUGUUGUUGUGCCCCAGCCUGCUGCCGCCGUGGCUUCCCGCGUCAGACCAACAGCAACAGAGAUGUAAUGCAACUUACACUACCGCAUCUUCCUCUUGAUAUGCUUCUGACAUAGCAAACGAGGAGCCAAGAAGUGACAGAGGCAUUGCAGAGGAAGAUGGAGGUCCAAAGUAGCGUUCAGCAGCCGGAUCCCUGCCCUAUGGGCUCACCUCGGUCAGGGGCCAAUCAGCAGGACGAAGUGGAUGACAGACAGACAAAUGCCAGCGGCAGGCCCUCCACUGACAGCCACAGUAAAGAUGCACAGCCAGCAGCCCAGAAAGAUGACAGAAAGCCCAGUGCAGCAGUGAGAGGUUACCACAGCAGCAAGACGGCCAUAACCCCAAACCUCAGCUCCACCUGGACCACUGGAAGUAGUGGUGGUGGUCAAGGGGCCUGGAGCGGACCCUCCUAUACUCGUGCAAGUCUGCAGCAAUACAUAUC